UCUAGCAAGUCUUGACUGAAGCGGAUAUUAGUGGCAAUACGGAAACUUAAAACAUUAAAACCUUUUCCCUCACCAUUUUCCCUGCGAACGCGCUGAGCUGCAUUUUGGGUAACAUUUUCGAUACCUGUCGGCAUGUGUCGAGUACCAAGAGGUAUUCCCCGUCUGCCCACCUAUCUGCAUCUCCGACCUCGGCUCCCAGCUCUCGAAUUCUCCUCCUUGGCGCCCGCAUAACUUGCGCUCUAAACAAAACAAAAAUGCGUUGGCAAAAGCGUAGGACCAGAGACAGAAGAACCAGAGACAGCGGAUGGAACCCGAAGGCUGGGGCUGCGGAGGAGGCGUGCCGGGGCAGAGGCAGCUGGCUACGAUGACUACGAUGGCGAUGGUGAUGGCGACACUGGCAACAGCAAAGGCAACGUUAGUGGGACACCCUAAGACAAAGGAGUAGAUCAACUUUUCUGACAAGAACAUAUCAAAUUGGAACGAACAGCUGUUGGGGAUAUCUAAUGAAACGAAAUUUGUAAGAAACAUUGUGUAUGUAUUCGAAAAUAAUUAUAUACUAGGAGGAAAGCAAAAAUAACAUAAAGUCGUUUCAA